CCUACGGGAGGCAGCAGUGAGGAAUAUUGGUCAAUGGACGCAAGCCUGAACCAGCCAUGUCGCGUGAAGGAUGACGGCCCUACGAGUUGUAAACUUCUUUUGUACAGGGAUAAACUCAGAUACGCGUACCUGUUUGUAAGUACUUUAUGAAUAAGGAUCGGCUAACUCCGUGCCAGCAGCCGCGGUAAUACGGAGGAUCCGAGCGUUAUCCGGAUUUAUUGGGUUUAAAGGGUGCGUAGAGGGGUUGUUAAGUCAGAUGUGAAAGUCUGAGGCUCAACCGCGGAAUUGCCAUUGAUACUGGUCGGCUCGAGUGUAGUUGAGGUAGGCGGAAUGCGUGGUGUAGCGGUGAAAUGCUUAGAGAUCAUGCAGAACACCGAUUGCGAAGGCAGCUUACCAAGCUACUACUGACAUUGAUGCUCGAAAGCGUGGGGAGCAAACAGGAUUAGAUACCCUUGUAGUC
rnacentral:rRNA from 1 species